AAAUGAAUGAUCACUGAGUAAUUCCUGCCAUGAAAAUAAGGCCCGUUAUCAAAAGAGUAGCCAAAUAUUAUUCCAGAUUGGAUGCAUGAGUUGAGAGAAAGAAGAAGAGAGGAUCAAAGCUUUUCCAAAAAGGAAGAGAAUGCCAAGACAGUAUAUGAUCAUUUGCUCCUAUAACAGUUAGUAGUUCACAGCAAAUGUUUUUAAUUAAAGCAUGGAAUAUGGAAAACAGAAAAACUAAAAAAGCUAGUGCUUUAGUCUCAUCUGAAAUUCUGUGCUUUCCUAGGUUCUCUUCAGACCCAGGCAUCUUGUUGCCUCUCUCCACGAGCUCUGUCACGUGGCUCUUUCAGACUGCCCACCCCUGGGUGCACAGGCAUACAUCUUAUAAGCAGUAUAAUGGCAGAAUUUUAAGCCGAGUUGAGAAUUUCUUUUAGUAGAAAUUUCAAGCAUUAUUUUUGACUACUACAUACUACUGACUGCUCAGUUGGUGAAACUGAAGAUCUUUCACUCGGAAGAAAUAAACCAAGGAGGAGAACCUGAGGUUCGUGUGCUUCUGAGCUGCUGUGGAUGGCCCUGACUCUCUUGACCACUCUUCCGAGUAGGAUGUCACUGAGAUCCCUCAAAUGGAGCCUCCUGCUGCUGUCCCUCCUGAGUUUCCUUGUGAUGUGGUACCUCAGCCUGCCCCACUACAAUGUGAUAGAACGUGUAAACUGGAUGUACUUC